GUGUUCGCCUGGGGAGUACGGUCGCAAGAUUAAAACUCAAAGGAAUAGACGGGGACCCGCACAAGUGGUGGAGCAUGUGGUUUAAUUCGAAGAUACGCGAAGAACCUUACCUGGCCUUGACAUUGAUAGAAUCCUGUAGAGAUACGGGAGUGCCCUUCGGGGAGCUUGAAAACAGGUGCUGCACGGCUGUCGUCAGCUCGUGUCGUGAGAUGUUGGGUUAAGUCCCGCAACGAGCGCAACCCUCGUCCUUAGUUGCCAGCAGGUUAAGCUGGGCACUCUAAGGAGACUGCCUUCGCAAGGAGGAGGAAGGUGUGGACGACGUCAAGUCAUCAUGGCCCUUACGGCCAGGGCUACACACGUGCUACAAUGAGGCGUACAGAGAGUUGCAAUACCGCGAGGUGGAGCCAAUCUCAUAAAGCGUCUCUCAGUUCGGAUUGGAGUCUGCAACUCGACUCCAUGAAGCUGGAAUCACUAGUAAUCGUAGAUCAGCAUUGCUACGGUGAAUACGUUCCCGGGUCUUGCACACGCCGCCCGU
rnacentral:rRNA from 1 species